GCUGCGGACUCUACCAUCGCGCUCGGCAUGGGGAGGGCCAUGGACCUCCCCCCUCCGCGCCUUCCCCGGCGCCGCGCCCCUCCCGGUGUGCGCGCCCCCCCGAGGAGGCCGCCAGCAGGGUGGGCGAGGUGGAGCAGUGGUCGCGCCCGGCCGGCGGGUCACGUGGCGGCGGGUGCUGUCGGUGACGUGGGGGGCGCGCGGGCGCGGAGCAGCGCGCGCGGCGCGGACCGAGCAGCGGCGGCGGCGGCGGCGGCGACGGCGGCGGGAGAGGAAAACGGGGGGUCCCGGGCACAGCUCCGGGCGGUGCAAACACACAUCACACCCCCCUGCCACCACCAGCCUCCGCUUCUGGUUUUUUGUUGUUUUUUUUUUUUUUUUUUUCCUCCCAAACCUUUCCGAAAACGAGCGAAGAGAUCUUGGGGAAAAAAUGCGCCUUUUAUAUAUAUAUAUAUAUAUAUAUAUAUAUAUAUACAUAUACAUCUAUAUAUGUUUUUUAAUUGUAAUUUAUCUUUGUUUGCUUUUUUAUUUAUUUAUUUUUGGGUGGGGGGUUACUUUCGCGUUUCUAAAACACCCUCCCCCCCAAAAAAAAUACCCCAAACCAACCAAACAACCUAGCGAGCAAAGCCAGGAGCCAGCUACAUUGUUCUGGAUUUUUAAUUUUUUUCUUUAAUUGUUUUUUUCCCUCAUUCAGCUUUUUUUUAGAAUAAUUUUUUUGCAAACAGCGACAUUCGGCUCAGGGCCUCCGGUGGGAUUCACUCUUGGGGAAAGAAGCUUUUUCCUUAAAGACAGUUCCCCAUGAACUCCCAAUAUGCACUUUUGGUUUUAUUUUAAUUUUUUUUUUCUUUUUUAUUUCUUUACCAGAAUUCUGCAGAAAAAAACCCGAACCAUUUUGAUGAUUUUUUUUUCCAUCCAUGUUCUCUUUUCCUUUCCAGGACACUCAAGUGGUGGGUUAAUUCUGUGUAGCUGUUUUGUUAUUGUUGCAAAAUAACCUGUAAGUCCAUAAAUAUUCUGCUUGUAUGGAAUUGUUGUACUGUGCUGGGGAUGCAAAAUCGCUUUGGCUUUUCUGGAAAGGGAUUUUAUUUCUUCACUUUUUGCGUCUUGCUGGGCAAAGGCCUUUGCUGGGAGGUGGGAGGGGGGGAAUGAUGCAAAGCCUUGCAAUCGGUGUCUCGGGUGGGUGUCGCAGGGGAUGCAGGGGAGGGGACCUUUCACCCCAACCUUCCCCGCUCCCCUGUGCAGAUGUAGCUCCGUGGAUGUAAAUCUCUGGAGAUUGCUGCUCCUAUCCCCCAGCCUCCCGUGUUUAUUUCCUGGGGGCCUGCAGCAAGGCUUGGGUUUAGGGGUGGCUCAGAUCGCUCGUUUUGCUUUCCCGGACGGGUUUUUGGGCUGCGAGCUGCCGGUCGGGGUGGUGGGGAGCGGGGGAAGGCACGCUCUGGGCUGUGAAGGCAUUCCCGGGCCCUGGUGAUUAAUAGAAAUUUGUUUACGAGAAUAACCACCGCAGGUCACGGUGCCCUCGGUCCACUGGUGCAGUUGCUCGGAGCUACUGAUUCCAGCACUGGCGAGCCCACGGAGCGGCCGUCUUGGACGCAAUGUGCCAGGGUGCUGCCUUUAUUUUGAUUUCUCAGCUGAGCUCUUGAACCGAAACAUUUUAAAGAAAGGAGGUUGGGCGGCGAGGGUGGGGGGGUAACAGAUUAGGAAGAAAGCCCUUCUGCUAAUACGACUCGUCAUUAAAAAUAGCCCGGUGGCAAGACAGGGAUGGUACUCCCGAGACACUUGAGGUGGUACAGAUAUGCUGGAGAGACGGCUUCCCUGUAGUUAAAAUGCAAUAUGGGAUUCCCAGGGAGUGAGUGCAGCUGGAGCCGUGUGACUUGUGCGAUUCCGAUCCCGGCCCGGGGCAGGGAGGGGGCUCCCGGCUCUGCAAGUGACCGAAGGAGGGACGGACCCAAGAGUAGCAACUCUGUUCCAGGGUUUUGAAUUGUUUUUAUUUUCCUUCUUCCUCAGCAAUGAAACCCAAAGGAAGGGGGUUUUGGGAGCGACAGAUCUGUUCUGUUUGUCAUUUCUCUGCAGUGUGUGACGCUUUCGCUUUAGCCGGAGCCCAGCGAGCCCGGCGCUCGCGGGACGCUCCGGAGCAGCAGCGAGAGGGCUGCCGCUUGGGGGAUUUUUGGUGGAGACCCGAGGUCGAGCACAGCUUCCGUUCAAAUAGCACUCUUACGGGGGAUAUGUCUCACUCUGCCUGGCCACAGCCAAGCCGGGCUUGCAUCAGACUUUCCAUCCUAACCCGCCUCGUUGCGGGGACAUAGGGAGCAGCCAGCAGCAUCCCUUUCGGACUGGGAGCUGAGAGGCCUGGGUGCCUUUGCUGAGUUUUUGGCCUUCCUGCUCUGGUGUCAUACCUUCUACUCCCUCGCUGUCACUCAGGGCCUGGCUGCAGCUACCCACGGGCUCUUGCCACCCACCUCUGCUCCCCACUGCUUCCUGCUGCCCCAAAAGCAGCAGUGGUCCCUGUGCUGCCUUGCUGGGGACUUCAGGGAGCUGGGGAUGGAGCAUUUUCCUGGGAGCCCUCUCCCACCAUUGGCCAGAGGGAUCUUUGCUGAGUGCAGCCUUGGUACCCUCUUCCUUUGCCUGUCCCAGCUCUGGGGACCUGCACGGCAGCCGCUGGCAGCGGUGGUGGCUGCCAGGGUGGCAAUGUCCCGGUGGGACAGCUUCCCCUGCCUCCGCAAGCGGCAGCAAGUGUCUUCUCUUUGGGGGACAACGGCAGCCCCGUGGUGGGGAGGGUGGCUUGGUGGGAGUGUGCAAAGCCACCGGCAGCCCCACGUUGGCUGUGGGACAUUGCUCAGCGGCCCCGGGCUCGGCGUGGCUCCUGCACACCCACGAGGUGCCUGUGUGGCACGUGGAGGAGCCGCAGCUCGGCCCUGCCUGUGGGAGGCUGUGGCAACCCUGUUGGGUGGGUCAGCCCCAUGCACCCCCUCUCAAAAACACCCUCUGUGCUGCAGAGAGCUCCUCACCCAGGCAAGGGUUUGAAGCCCCGAGUGCCACCGCUCAAAGUGGUGGCAGUGCCGGAACCGGGGUGAGGCUGCUGGGAAAAGGUUCCCCUUGGAGUUGGCAGUGGUAUUUCUGGUCGUGCUGGAGCAGCUCCUAGGAGCAGGAGCAGAGGCAGGAGCAGUGCUGGGCAUUGCCACAGGUGCCUCACACCCUCCCAUGGACUGUCCCUGUCCAGCUUCUUCAUGUCCUCCCCUGGCAAAGCUCCUGGGAUGAAAAACAACCCCUCUGUCUGUGUGCUGGCGUGCAGGGCACAGAGCAGUGUGAAAUUAUUCAGCCAUCCCUGGGAGCUGCAGUUGGGUGCUGAAGGGCCUUGGAGCUGGAGGUAGUAGUUGGCAGUGAGGGGAGUCCCCGGGCUUGGGUCGUUUCCCUCCAGGGGACACAGAGCAGGUUUUUAUGGUAUACUGAGGCCAGUGCGUAUUUUUCCCAGGUGAACCGCACCCUUGGAAAGAAAUGCCUUGUCUUCUACAAAACACUGCUUAAAUAAACAGUACCCUACUAUAAUUUUUUCUUUUGAAAUUAACUCCUUCAGGCCAUAAGCUUCCCCAUCUUCACACAAAAAUAACUGCCAGGACUUUUAAAGGGAAAAAAAAAAAAAAGUGUCUAAGAGAGAAAAGUUUAGCCUGACAGGAGAGAGCCUGUGAACCUCUCUCCUUCCCCGUAGCCCUUGAGGAUGGGUUUCAGGAACAGCCUGCCCGUUUUGAAGCUGGGUGCCACUGCAUGAGGAUGGGUUUCAGGAACAGCCUGCCCGUUUUGGAGCUUGGUGCCACCGCAUGAACGUUACUUAAAAGGAGAUUUGUGCAUAUUAAUGCAAAUGCAGCGAGGCCAGGCUGUGCAGGGACAGCCGAGUCCCUGCCUGAAUUCAGCUAUCUUGUUUUCUAAUCUAACCUACUUUUUUUCUUUUGCCUUUUUUUUUUUUUUUUUUUUGUCAGAGGCCGGUGCUUUGCAGGAACCUGUUCUCAGUGCAAUCUCAGAGCUUUUUGUGGGUGUCUGAUUUCUGUAACACGUUUUGGUUUCCAGUAUGAAUGUAAUGUACAGAGAACAUCAUGACACUGCUCUAGGUGUAUGUGAUCUUAUCUACCUGACAUUUAAGGUUUUUUUAAACCGUCCAAUUCAUCUGAUUUGCAUAAAAAUCACAUGAUUUAACUUUUUUUCCUCCUUUUUUUUCAUGCAUCAUCAUAACAAACUACUUAGGUUUACCAGGCUGUUUUAUAUCUGUCAGCAUGAAUAUGGGCCUGUUUCUCUCGUCUUCAUUCCUCCCCAGUGGAGGUUGGGGAUGUAAAAGGUGGUGCUUGGAGGGGACUUGUGAUCCCAGCCAGCCACUGAAAUCCUUAAUAAGCAAAUAUGUACAGUUUAACUUCCCAGAAAACAAAGCAGCUGAGCAUGCAUGCUAUGCAGUUGUUGUUAAUUUAAAUAGUUGAGACUUCUUUUUAUUGAUAAGGAAACUCCUCUGGAACAGCCCCCCGGAUCCCAGCAGGCUCCCCCUGCUGCAGCCGUCCUCAUUACAAAACAAGGCCGCAAUUAAAAUAAACUCCAAGAGCUAAACAAACUGCUGCCUCUCGCUGGUCAUGUGUUAGCUUUAGCCUUUAACGCAGAACAAAAUGUUUUCCUGGGUAUCGGAAGAGGCAUGGGCUCCGACUGGGAGGAGAAGAGGGAGCAGGAGCUGGGCCUACGGGAAUGGCAGGCAGUGGGGUGCUGCAAUGCUCAUCGGGGCUCCUUUCUCUUGCUUUCUUUUUAAUUUUUUUCUUGUUGUAAAUUUGAGCAUUUGUGUUCGAACUCGGUCUUUACUGCAAGAGAAAGGGCUGGAAGAGGAAAAACUUGAAUGUUGUGGUAAAACCUGGCUGUCCCAGCACGUCCUGGGCACACCUGACUGUACCUCUCCCUUGCCUAGCCUGGCUCUCACUGAGCCCACCGGCCAUAAGCCCCUGGCCCAAUCUGUGUUACUCCCUUUGCAGAGGCUUUAGGUGGCUGCAGAUACCACUUGGCAUCUGCUGGCAUCUGUAUGGGUACUGGGAAGGGGAAGCACAGGGUGCCCUGGAGGGCAGGACCAGAGGGGUGAGGUCUGGAUGGAGGGAGGGACAGCCAGGGGCUGAGGAGGGGUGUGAGGCUGGCCGGCCCUCAGUGCCUCCAUGCCAUGCCAGGGCUCCCCACACGGCCUGGGAACAGGUUUUAACCCCCGUGCCAUGUCCAGACAUCCUGUUGGGGGUACUGAAUCGCUCUCGGAUGAGUACUCUGCAAGAAGAGCUGCUCUGAUGAUGGAGGGGGGUACAUCCACGCUGUGUGCACAUCAACCCCCAGGAUAAUAUUCUGGCAAAAUUGCCCAAAUAACUGGCAUAUCUGCUUGCUGCCAGGAGACAGUGUAGACUUGCCUGUCAAAAAUUACUUUCUUGCCACAUAGAAGCAAGAUAUCUGCCUGUCUCCUGCCUGAUCUCCCAAACCGGCUGAGCAUAAACAGCACUUCUCGGAAGGUGGGUAAGGACUGUCCCCAUUCCACGGAGCACUCACAGCCACACAUCAGUUCUGCCCCAGCUUAGAUUUAAAAGGGCAACUUCAUCCUAAAGUUUUCAAGCUGCAGAUUAAAAAAAAGAUUACCUUGCACCCCACCUUGGACCCAGUCGAUUUUUAACCAGUUAUGGACCAAAGCCUGUCCGUGCCUCAGUGGGGCUGUGCUGGGUAAGGAGCCUCCUGGCAGGGGAGCCUUCGCCUGAUCAGCAUCCCCAGCUCUAUCCCUUGCUUCUCCUCAAAUUUUGUCGUCCUCACACACACCAAACUGAAGUGUGAGACCAGUGGAAGCUGAAAAUCCCUGGCCUGUGGCUGAGCAGCACUACUGACCUCUUUUCUUUUCAGCAGAUCUGUCUGCGUUCAGACGUUACAGUGAAAAAAACCUCACUAACCCCUACAGAUACUUCUCUGAUUAGGAGUUGUGCUGAGGUAGUUCAAACCCAAUGUGUAAGUUGCUUUGUUGGGGGAAAAACUAAUAAAAAUAAUAAAAAGCAAUGCUUGCUUUGAAUGGUUUAUAAUAUUAUUUAUUACUCCUAUGUCUCAGAGAAUCUUGCAGAUACCUGAUACUAAAAAUCAGCAGAGAGACUAAGAAGAAGGACAAUGUCUCAAACUUUUAAAGACACAAGCACAUUGUAAUUAAGAGAGGGAUUUGCAUUGACCCGGAUCGUUUUGAAACAGGCCUCUAAAGUUCAGGCUAAACUAGCCUGGUUUAUUUCUGUUUUUCCUUUAAUAACUCCCGGGACUCUCAGCCAGUAGAGUACUGUGUGAAUUUCAAUUUCUCUCUUCAAAUAAAACUUCGACGUAAUUUUUA